rnacentral:rRNA from 1 species
UACGUAGGGUGCAAGCGUUGUCCGGAAUUAUUGGGCGUAAAGAGCUCGUAGGCGGUCUGUCGCGUCUGCUGUGAAAACUCGGGGCUUAACCCCGGGCCUGCAGUGGGUACGGGCAGACUAGAGUGCGGUAGGGGAGACUGGAAUUCCUGGUGUAGCGGUGAAAUGCGCAGAUAUCAGGAGGAACACCGGCGGUGUAGACGGCUCUCUGGACCGUUACUGACGCUGAGAUACGAAAGCGUGGGUAGCAAACAGG